UACGUAGGGUGCAAGCGUUUGUCCGGAAUUAUUGGGCGUAAAAGAGCUCGUAGGCGGUCUGUCGCGUCGGCUGUGAAAAACCCGGAGCUCAACUCCGGGGCCUGCAGUCGAUACGGGGCAAAACUGGAGUACUGCAGGGGGGAGACUGGAAUUCCUGGUGUAGCGGUGCAAAUGCGCAGAUAUCAGGGAGGGAAACACCCGGGUGGGCGAAAGGGCGGGGGUC
rnacentral:rRNA from 1 species